rnacentral:lncRNA from 1 species
AAUGGGCUGGGCUGCGAGAUUGUUCUUUUAAUUCGAAGCCCACUCGCUGAAGCCAAACCAAAGCAAUUUUAAUUUGAACCCCAUUCUUUUAACUCGAAGCCCACUCGCUAUAGCCAAUUUUGUAACCAAAGCAACUUUAAUUCAAAGCCACUCGCUGUAGCCAAUUUUGUAAUCAAAACCAAACCCAAAUCUUUUAUUACAAUUUUAAUUAGAAGCCCAAUCCGCCAGUGACAUGGCAGUAUGAUUGGUGGAGAUUAUUUUGCCCAUGUGGCACCCUUUAUAAACUCCCAAAUUAGCUUCUUUUAUUUUUUUAUUUUUUUUUUUUUUUUUUUGAUCAACUGCUUCUUUUAUAUAGUAGGAUUAGUUGGACUUCCGUCUAAAUAUUCUUUGAUUUAUAAAAACACUCGAAAAAGAGAUAAAAUUAUAAUACUAUUGUAUUUAAUAAUAAAAAUACCAAUGUAACAUGGAACAAUUUAUGAAAAAGACAAGGCAGGUACAAUAUCGGUUGGGUUUGGUACUAUUUCAGAUGUUGCAAAAACAACAGAAAGGUGACACAAAUUAAUAGAGAAGAGUCGGGAAAAUGGUUAAACAUUUUGUGGCGAUGUGAUACAUGUCAAGGAAAUGUUUCAAAUGUUGCACUAAUGUAAGAUUCUGUAUAUUACGGCAUUACACAUAAGGCUUUUAGUGCAACACAUCUUCCUUUUAAUAUAACUAUAUAUCAAGGUUGAAAUUCAAGAGCUACCUAAAUUAGAUUGAAAAUUCCAAUUCCCAUUCAGACCAAACUUAUUGAAUCAUAAAUUUUCCGGGUCCCUAAUAUUGUUAUUUGAACCAAACCAAAAAACAAAAUAACUAAACUAAUAAAAAAUCCAAAUUUAUAAAUAAUCUAUCGGUUCCUAUAUUUCUUGAACCGCGAACCAAAAACCACAGCCGACUGGAACCAAAAAGAAAAUAAAAAAUACAAUCUGAA